UUUUGUUGUAUUCUCCAUAUUUUUUGGAAAAUUAAAUCAUUAAAAGAUUGAGGAUAAAAAUUCUUGCUUCAGCAGGUAGCAUGGACCCUGUGCAAGGAUGACACACAAAUUCAUGAAGCGUUCCAUAUUUUU
rnacentral:snRNA from 1 species